rnacentral:lncRNA from 13 species
AUGGUGCACACACCCUGCGGGGUGGGGACACGGGGACAUCAGGGGGACGCGGCCACGUGCCCGGCAUCUCAGCGGUUAAACCCCCACGCCCGGCGAGGUUUGUGUCAAAGCCACCGGCGCGGGGGAUUUAAUCCCGGGAUCGAGUUAAUCCAAAUCCAAUCUGCUGCUGGGAGCCAGCAGGGGACGAAGCGAGUGGCCUGGGACCCCACUCCGAGGGUGGCAGGGUGGUGGCAGGGUGGUGGCAGGGUGGUGGCACCCACCUUGCUGAGCAUCUGGGACUGGCCCACGAGGAUGAGGAUGUUGGAAGCCAGGAUGGAGACGCAGAAGUUGAGCAGGAUGAUGGAGCGCUCCGACUUGAUGAACCUGCGGCAGGAGCGGCAUGGGGCGGGGGGGCCAGCCUGUCCCUGUCCCAUGUCCCUGUCCCUGUCCCUGUCCCUUGUCCCUGUCCCUUGUCCCUGUCCCAUGUCCCAUGUCCCUGUCCCUGUCCCAUGUCCCUGUCCCAUGUCCCUGUCCCAUGUCCCUGUCCCUGUCCCAUGUCCCUGUCCCAUGUCCCUGUCCCAUGUCCCUGUCCCAUGUCCCUGUCCCUGUCCCAUGUCCCUGUCCCAUGUCCCUGUCCCAUGUCCCUGUCCCUGUCCCAUGUCCCUGUCCCAUGUCCCUGUCCCAUGUCCCUGUCCCUGUCCCAUGUCCCUGUCCCAUGUCCCUGUCCCAUGUCCCUGUCCCUGUCCCAUGUCCCUGUCCCAUGUCCCUGUCCCAUGUCCCUGUCCCUGUCCCAUGUCCCUGUCCCAUGUCCCUGUCCCAUGUCCCUGUCCCAUGUCCCUGUCCCUGUCCCAUGUCCCUGUCCCAUGUCCCUGUCCCAUGUCCCUGUCCCUGUCCCAUGUCCCUGUCCCAUGUCCCUGUCCCAUGUCCCUGUCCCUGUCCCAUGUCCCUGUCCCAUGUCCCUGUCCCAUGUCCCUGUCCCUGUCCCAUGUCCCUGUCCCAUGUCCCUGUCCCAUGUCCCUGUCCCUGUCCCAUGUCCCUGUCCCAUGUCCCUGUCCCAUGUCCCUGUCCCAUGUCCCUGUCCCUGUCCCAUGUCCCUGUCCCAUGUCCCUGUCCCAUGUCCCUGUCCCUGUCCCAUGUCCCUGUCCCAUGUCCCUGUCCCAUGUCCCUGUCCCUGUCCCAUGUCCCUGUCCCAUGUCCCUGUCCCAUGUCCCUGUCCCUGUCCCAUGUCCCUGUCCCAUGUCCCUGUCCCAUGUCCCUGUCCCUGUCCCAUGUCCCUGUCCCAUGUCCCUGUCCCAUGUCCCUGUCCCUGUCCCAUGUCCCUGUCCCAUGUCCCUGUCCCAUGUCCCUGUCCCAUGUCCCUGUCCCUGUCCCAUGUCCCUGUCCCAUGUCCCUGUCCCAUGUCCCUGUCUCUGUCCCAUGUCCCUGUCCCAUGUCCCUGUCCCAUGUUCCUGUCCAUGUCCCUGUCCCUGUCCCAUGUCUCUGUCCCAUGUCCCUGUCCCAUGUCCCUGUCUCUGUCCCAUGUCCCUGUCCCAUGUCCCUGUCCCAUGUCCCUGUCCCUGUCCCAUGUCCCUGUCCCUGUCCCUGUCCCAUGUCUCUGUCCCUGUCCCAUGUCCCUUUUCCCAUGUCCCUGUCCCAUAUCCCUGUCCCUUGUCCCAUGUCCCAUGUCCCGUGCUGCCACUGCAUGGGUGCUGUCCCGGGGCGGGGACAGUGCCAGGCCACCCAAGCAUCUUCUCCCACCCAGGUUUUCCCUUCCCACCACAUUAA